rnacentral:rRNA from 1 species
GACGUAGGGCGCGAGCGUUGUCCGGAUUUAUUGGGCGUAAAGGGUGUGUAGGCGGUUCUUUUAAGUUUGCUGUGAAAUCUCCCGGCUUAACCGGGAGGUGCGGUGAAUACUGAGGGACUAGAGUACGGGAGAGGAAAGUGGAAAUUCCUGGUGUAGCGGUGAAAUGCGCAGAUAUCAGGAGGAACACCGGUGGCGAAGGCGGGUCUCUGGGCCGAUAUUGACGCUGAGGAGCGAAAGCGUGGGGAGCAAACAGG